rnacentral:rRNA from 1 species
CAGUCGCCGCGGUAAUACGAAGGGGGCUAGCGUUGCUCGGAAUUACUGGGCGUAAAGGGAGCGUAGGCGGACAUUUAAGUCAGGGGUGAAAUCCCGGGGCUCAACCUCGGAAUUGCCUUUGAUACUGGGUGUCUUGAGUAUGAGAGAGGUAUGUGGAACUCCGAGUGUAGAGGUGAAAUUCGUAGAUAUUCGGAAGAACACCAGUGGCGAAGGCGACAUACUGGCUCAUUACUGACGCUGAGGCUCGAAAGCGUGGGGAGCAAACAGGAUUAGAUACCCCCGUAGUCCCUGUCUCUUAUAC